CCUCACUAGGCAGUCAUCAUCAGGAUAGGAAGUGGGCACGGGAUUCAGGAGAAAUCUGGACUUUACAGUGGACAGGAUGUGGUGACUGAACGUGACAGUGUGGGAAAAAGAAUGCAGGGUGAUUCCCGGGCUCAUGGCUUGAGAAAUGAGACCACUGUUGUGCCUCCAAGUGACAUGGGAGGCUAUAGAAAGUGACAUGGGAGGCUAUAGAAAGUGACAUGGGAGGCCAUAGAAAGUGACAUGGGAGGCCAUAGAAAGUGACAUGGGAGGCCAUAGAAAGUGACAAGGGAGGCCAUAGAAAGUGACAUGGGAGGCCAUAGUGACAUGGGAGGCCAUAGAAAGUGACAUGGGAGGCUAUAGAAAGUGACAUGGGAGGCUAUAGAAAGUGACAUGGGAGGCCAUAGAAAGUGACAUGGGAG
rnacentral:lncRNA from 1 species